UCCAUUAAAAAGUAAAAACUCAAAAAGUUUUACAUGUUUACAACAAAAUCCAUGUAAUCUAUGUAUACAUCAAUCAACUCUCUAAGAAAGGAAAAAAGGUAAAAUAUAAAAUGAACAAAGGAAGGAAGGAAGGAAGGAAGGAAGGAAGGAAUGUUACUCACCUUAACAGUGCCAGCUUUUACAAGACCAAGCAAGAAGCAAACUAUGAAAACAAUCUGUUGCUUGAUAACUCCCACGAUAUGAACAC
rnacentral:lncRNA from 1 species